rnacentral:rRNA from 1 species
CCUACGGGAGGCAGCAGUGGGGAAUAUUGGACAAUGGGGGGAACCCUGAUCCAGCGACGCCGCGUGAGUGAAGAAGUAUUUCGGUAUUUAAAGCUCUAUCAGCAGGGAAGAAAAUGACGGUACCUGACUAAGAUGCCCCGGCUAACUACGUUCCAGCAGCCGCGGUAAUACGUAGGGGGCCAGCGUUAUCCGGAUUUACUGGGUGUAAAGGGAGCGUAGACGGUUCAGCAAGUCUGGUGUGAAAGGUCGGGGCCCAACCAUGGGACUGCAGUGGAAACUGUUGAACUGGAGUACAGGAGAGGUAAGCGGAAGUCCUGGUGUAGCGGUGAAAUGCGUAGAUAUUAGGAGGAACACCGGUGGCGAAGGCGGCUUACUGGACUGUAACUGACGUUGAGGCUCGAAAGCGCGGGGAGCAAACAGGAUUAGAUACCCUAGUAGUC